rnacentral:rRNA from 1 species
GACCUCAAAUCAGGUAGGAACACCCGCUGAACUUAAGCAUAUCAAUAAGCGGAGGAAAAGAAAAUAACAAUGAUUCCCCUAGUAAUUGCGAAUGAAGAGGGACAAGCUCAAAUUUUAAAUCUAUCGGGUUUUACCUGAUCGAGUUGUAAUUUGAAGAAGCGUUUUCCGCGUAUUUGGUUAACCCAAGUCCUAUUGAAUGAGGCAUCAUGGAGGGUGAUAAUCCCGUCCGGUUGAUCAUUGCGUUUUACGAUACGCUUUCUAAGAGUCAAGUUGUUUGGGAUUGCAGCUUAAAAUGGGAGGUAAAUUUCUCCUAAGGCUAAAUAACGGCGAGAGACCGAUAGCGAACAAGUACCGUGAGGGAAAGAUGAAAAGAACUUUGAAAAGAGAGUUAAACAGUACGUGAAAUUGUUGAAAGGGAAACGAUUGAAGCCAGUCGUACCUUCGGGUAAUCAGCCUUUCGGGUGCGAUUAUGUGGAGUGUGAGGAGCUUAAACACCUUCAUGUUUUGCAUAUUCGUACUCUUGGGUGUACUUGCCCGUGUGGUUGGUUAACAUCAAUUUUGGUGGUCAUAAAAUGACUGGAGGAAUGUAGCUUCGAUCUCGUAUUGAAGUGUUAUAGCCUUCGGUAGAUGUGAUGAUCGAGAUUGAGGAUUGCAACGGAUACCCUUCGGGGCUACCUGUCUGGUCUCUGAUCGUUGCUCUGGUGCCGAAAGCUUGCUUACGGUUAUCAAAGUCGAUGGUCAAUAGGUUAGAACGGGUUAAAUUCGUUAAGGAUGUUGACGUAAUGGCUUUAAACGACCCGUCUUGAAACACGGACCAAGGAGUCUAACAUAUAUGCGAGUGUUAGGGUGAUUAAACCCUUACGCGUAAUGAAAGUAAUUUUGGUGGGAACACUUUUGUGCACCAUCGACCGAUCAGGAUAUUUUUUGAUAGAUUUGAGUAAGAGCAUAUCUGCUAGGACCCGAAAGAUGGUGAACUAUGCCUGAAUAGGGUGAAGUCAGAGGAAACUCUGAUGGAGGCUCGUAGCGGUUCUGACGUGCAAAUCGAUCGUCAAAUUUGGGUAUAGGGGCGAAAGACUAAUCGAACCAUCUAGUAGCUGGUUCCUGCCGAAGUUUCACAAGAUUACCCA